rnacentral:rRNA from 1 species
AACGAACGCUGGCGGCAGGCUUAACACAUGCAAGUCGAACGGGUGUAGCAAUACAUCAGUGGCAGACGGGUGAGUAACACGUGGGAACCUUCCUAGGGGUACGGAACAACUCAGGGAAACUUGAGCUAAUACCGUAUACGUCCGUGAGGAGAAAGAUUUAUCGCCCUUAGACGGGCCCGCGUCGGAUUAGCUAGUUGGUGGGGUAACGGCCUACCAAGGCGACGAUUCGUAGCUGAUCUUAGAGGAUGAUCAGCCACACUGGGACUGAGACACGGCCCAGACUCCUACGGGAGGCAGCAGUGGGGAAUCUUGGACAAUGGGCGCAAGCCUGAUCCAGCCAUGCCGCGUGAGUGAAGAAGGUCUUCGGAUUGUAAAGCUCUUUUGCCAGGGACGAUAAUGACGGUACCUGGAGAAUAAGCCCCGGCAAACUUCGUGCCAGCAGCCGCCGUAAGAC